UUAAUCAUGCCAUUUUGAUUCAGCUCUAUUUUGUAUUUCAAAUGAUUGAUACCAUAAAACUGUGUCCAUUAAGCCACAGACCAAGAAGAGGUUAUAUAAUGUACCAUCCCAACUUUUUAAUCAAAACCAUCUAGUGACAGGUCUUUUCAGAGAAAUAAGCCCAUGAUCUUUCUCUUAAGCUAUUAUGGAAAGAUUAGUUAUAUUUAGAGUGCUAUUAUCAUUAAAGAAACUGAUAUGCUGUUAGCAUUAAUGGGGACCUUGGGUAUUUUUUAGCCUCUGUUUCUAUGGAAAUAGUGCCUGAGUCAAAAGAUCAAGUAUGAAGAGUUCAUUCAAGUGUGUGAUCCCAGUGGCCAGGAUCAAGGAUGGCGCAAGAAAACCAGGAAUGAAGAGAGAAUCAAUGAUAUCCAAUUGACCACUAAUUUGGAAACAUAUAAUCUCAUAUAAUUUCAUUAUUUGAGAUUAUAUGAGAAGUGUAAUGAACAUAUACUUGGCAUUUUAAAAUUGUCUAUCAGUUCCAAUGCUAAGGUUCACAUGUUCAAAUAUUGUUCCAGAAGAUAUGAACAUUGUCACUGUAGCCCUUUGCAUGUGUCUUGAGUGGGUAAUGAAGUUCUUGGGCAGUGGUAAAUAGUUUGGGCCUGAGAUUUGAUACUCUUACUACAGUGAGAUAUUUCAUAUCCCAGAGGACGAAACCAAAUUUUAACAAUUAAUUUGAUCAUCCUUGGACUAGUUGCUUCUGUGAGACAGGGAAGAUUAGACUAGUAGAUACCUUAGCCAUGUGCCUAUGUUGCACCUCUGUUGAUGUAAAAUGGGAAUCUGGAUAUAAAGCAAUACUAUGCAAUAUAUAGGGCUGAAAAAACAUUUGCAUGGUGAUGCUUAUGGAGUCACUGUACACAGGGGAAGCAAAGCCAUAUCCAGAAUUUGUAUCAUUUCUGGUAAGAAAAAGUUAUUUAGCUCUCCAAUAUAUAUGAGUUUAUCCACAGUGGCUGGUCUUUGGGGUGAAAUGUGCCAUGUUGAAUUCAGCAUCAAGGAUUGCCAACACAAUGAAAACCCUGUCUCCCUAUGCAUGGGAUGGAAAAAAUACUAAGAGCACUCCCCUGGUUGUCUUAUCUGGCAAUAUUAGAGAAGGCCACAGGAAAGAAGUGAGGGGACUGGGGUUAAAGUUUGAAGCUGGACAAAGACUGUUGAAACUUGUUCAAUAGAGCAGUGUCUAAAAAUAAGGAAUGACACACAGAGAACUUGAAGGGGGCAUACAAGAUUUUCUAUAGAAAUUAAAGGAUACAGACCUACUUUCUGCUAAUGUAGAAAUACCAACAUUCCUAAUGGUUGAACAUCCAGCCUCUGCAGAAAGGUUUUAAUUAAAAUAAUCCAUUUCCUGUGUUUCCCACAAUGACAUCAUGUAACAGCCAUGCUAGAGGUUAUUCUCAAAGUCCAGAAAUCUGGAUGCUGAAACCACAUGAGGGAUUAUAGAAAAUGCUGAGAAGAUGUAUCAUUCAAUGAGCCACAGGAAUCAAAAGGAAGAUAUUCAAAAUUCAGAAAUUUUCAGAGUCCAUUGAGCAACAACCAAAUGCUCUGCCACACUGUUAUUUGACAUCAGAAGGAGUGAAUGGAGAGAGGAUGCCUGAAUACGAAGGUAAGAUUCCAUAAGGAGUGAGGGAAAAAGGGACUCUAAGGAGGGAGAACAUACAAAAGCAGAUACACCCUCCUUGUUAAACUACCGCAAGUACUACUCUAUUUCUAUCCUUCAACCUUGUUUUUCAAGCCCAAAACAUCAUGUCUGGAGAGAGGUGUGGUAACUGUAAAAGGCUGUCUGCAGAUGUGAUUGAAGCAGGUGUUUGGUACAACUGCUUCUCAAUAUGACUUACAUCAAACUCCAUCUGCUUCUACCAUCUUAUUCUAGAGAGUGUAUCUGCUUAGUAGCUCUUUUGAUAUUUUGAAUAAAAACAACAUUAAAAUACAUUAAAACUAUCUUGAGAAUAUAAAGAAAGAUACUUUAGAGGUGUGUCAAAAACUCUCUAUUGAAAUGAGAGUUGCUUUUUGUCUUGAUCUCCAAGGAGCCAGAAAAGUUUUUUGUUUUUGUUUUUGUUUGUUUGUUUUUUUGUGGUGCUGAUGAUUGAACCCAGGGCCUUGUGCAUGGGAGGCAAGCACUCCACCAACUGAGCUAUAUCCCCAACCCACAGAAAGGUUUACUCUAGCUUCUAACUGCCAAUUUUUCAAAUAUUUGAACACUAUUACCAUUACCUCUUACUAUUUUGUUUGUUGCUUAGGUUCUCCAGCAACUGUAAUUCAUUAGAAAAUAUUUUCAGACAAUAUACCAAUAUCGUAAGCUUUCUCAGAUCUCUUUCUACAUGUCCAUCUUCAGUGAAUUUCUCAAACAGGAUCUGUCAGAAUCAAGUAUGUAGACAAAUCUUCAAGCAGAGGUGCACCAAGCAGGAUUAAUUAUUCACCUAAAGAAUCCAGAGCUGGCAUAAAGUAGCCUUGAAGAAUAAAAAGAAAUGUCAAGAAUACAAGAAUUAGGAUGAGUUCAGUAAUGAUGGAGAUUAAAAUAAGGAGGCAGAGAACCACACAGUUAAUAGCUAUGUGGGAAAACUAAUGUAGAAAAAAAUCAAAGUAGUUUCUCUACUGUAUUCAACAUUUCUG
rnacentral:lncRNA from 1 species